CCUACGGGGGGCAGCAGUCGGGAAUAUUGCGCAAUGGAGGAAACUCUGACGCAGUGACGCCGCGUAUAGGAGGAAGGUCUUCGGAUUGUAAACUAUUGUCGUUAGGGAAGAAAAAGGACAGUACCUAAGGAGGAAGCUCCGGCUAACUACGUUCCAGCAGCCGCGGUAAUACGUAGGGAGCGAGCGUUAUCCGGAUUUAUUGGGUGUAAAGGGUGCGUAGACGGGAAUUUAAGUUAGUUGUGGAAUCCCUCGGCUCAACUGAGGAACUGCAACUAAAACUGGAUUUCUUGAGUGCUGGAGAGGAA
rnacentral:rRNA from 1 species